UGCUCCCAUCCGUCGACUGUCUCUCUUCCUUCUCUUCUUUUCUCUUUAAUAUAAUUUCUCCCCCAAAUUGAUUUCAAAUCCCUAACUCCUCCAUCUCUCUCCCUCCUCUCGGUCGACAUUGCAGGCAGCCGCCCCUGCCGCGCCUGACGGAGGCGUGCCACCAUCUCCGGCGAAUCGAGACCUACGUUCAUCGAUCUCUCGCCGUCUUCUUUUCGGAACCGAGAGGCAGGGCUAAAUCGUGCAGAGGUGGCGGCGCUCCUCUUCCUCUCGCGGCGGAGUCGCCGGUGGGAAGAAGGCGUCGCCUUUUCCACUCCACGGCGUCGCUCCUCGAUGGAACCGCCGCCACCAUCAACCGCACGCUUCACCUCCGUCACUACACGGCGUCUCAGCGCCGUCGAGCUACCGUCGCCGUCGUUCACUCCCGGCGUUUGCGCACCAUUACCGAAGUCCAGCAAGGCUCGUCGUCCUCUGGCGAGGUCUCUGCCUCAGUUGCUGUUCGGUGAAGCUCGAGGCGCCGCCCUCUCACCUUCGCUGUUCCGACUAAAGCUAAGCUAUCUAUAACCCAACUCAAACUCUUUCGUCAAUUGCAAAUUUUCCAUUGUUAUUUCUUAGAUUAUUUGAGAUGUUGAGCAUGUGGCAGUAGCGUUUUGUUCCUCAGUUUCCAUCAUGUAAUAUAACUCCAAAUUUCUUCAUGCUUGGUGUCUUUUUCUUUUCUACUGAUUUACUUGAGAUUUAGCAUGCUAAAUGAGUUUUCUAUGUGGCGGUGUCUCUAUGUGAUGUUGUGAUUCAUGCUUGAGUUUGAGGAAAAGAAAGGGAUAUGGAGGUUACCUUUUUUUCACCACUUUGUAUCUUGCUCCUAGACUUGUCUCUCUCGCACUCUCUACGCAUUAUCUUGCUAAUUGGUAUGUGGUGGUGAGAGAGGGUGAGACCGAGGGGUUAUCUCCCCAUAUAUAGAGGGUGUGUAACUGAAAGCUGCUGUUUAGUGCAGGAAAAAGGGUCCCCACGUUGAUUGUAUGUCGGCUGAUCCUCCUGCAACAAGGCAGGGCAUGUACUCGUAAAAAUAAAUGCGAUUCCAUCCUCAUUUGCUACUCUACUGCAGUGGCCUUAUUCCCCUGUCUUUGCAGCACUCUAUCUGAGUUUUUGGUACGGUUUUUGCAGGGACUGAGCUCUGUAAGGUGGUUAACUGAAUCUCUGCAGUUGAAGCUCUGUAGAGCAGCUGUAGUUGUGCCCCUUUUCUUGGCUCGUAGCGGCUGGACAUGGGCUGGAGAUGUGAAGGAGUUGCACUACUGCAGGCUGUCCCAAUUGAGGUCAUGGCUAACUACCGAGAGCGGGUUCCCUAGAUGUCUCGGCUCAUCGGGCUGUCGGCACAAUCGGACCGAAAUCCAAGCUAAGAAGGAAGGCUCGAAGCUAGUAGUUUCAUUUGUAAGGAGAUAGGGUUCUUACUCGUAAUUUUCUCCUUUUCUUUAACAUGUAAACAAGUCUCUGUAAUAUUUCAUGUGUAUUUCGUUUCCUUUGUUUUUCUUUGUCAACAUCUGUAAUUUAAGACUUAUCUCGAUACUAAAUGUUGAGUUUUUUUUUGUUUACUCAAGAAUUGAACCAA